CAGCUGUGAGCCGCAGCGGUGACUCACUCGUGCUGCAGAACAAGACAGGGAGUCAGAGGCUGAGCGAUGAGCCUCCCCCGGCUGCAGGCUGCGCUCCGGCUGUAGGUGAGUGACAAGUGACAUGCACAGAAAAUCUAUUAUUAUUGUAUACUAGCGGACGCCCGCGACUUCGUCCGCGUUAAACUCGAUGUAAACUUUC
rnacentral:misc_RNA from 1 species